UACGGGGGGGGGCAAGCGUUGUUCGGAAUUACUGGGCGUAAAGGGCUCGUAGGCGGCCAACUAAGUCAGACGUGAAAUCCCUCGGCUUAACCAGGGAACUGCGUCUGAUACUGGAUGGCUUGAGUUUGGGAGAGGGAUGCGGAAUUCCAGGUGUAGCGGUGAAAUGCGUAGAUAUCGGGAAGAACACCCGUGGCGAAGGCGGCUCUCUGGGACGGUACUGACGCUGAGACGCGAAAGCGUGGGGAGCAAACAGG
rnacentral:rRNA from 1 species